AGAGUUUGAUCCUGGCUCAGGAUCAACGCUGGCGGCGUGCCUCAGACAUGCAAGUCGAACGCGAAAGUUCCCUUCGGGGAGCAAGUAGAGUGGCGCACGGGUGAGUAACACGUAGGUAAUCUACCUUUGGAUGGGGAAUAACAACCGGAAACGGUUGCUAAUACCGCAUAAUGCAGCGGCACCUAAUGGUGACAGUUGUUAAAGCGGGGGAUCGCAAGACCUCGCGUCUGAAGAGGAGCCUGCGGCAGAUUAGCUAGUUGGUAAGGUAACGGCUUACCAAGGCUGUGAUCUGUAGCCGGCCUGAGAGGGCGGUCGGCCACACUGACACUGACAUACGGGUCAGACUCCUACGGGAGGCAGCAGUCGGGAAUUUUGGGCAAUGGGCGAAAGCCUGACCCAGCAACGCCGCGUGAAGGAUGAAAUCCCUCGGGAUGUAAACUUCGCAAGAACGGGAAGAAUAAGUAGGGGACAAUACCCCCUAUGAUGACGGUACUGUUUGUAAGCUCCGGCUAACUCCGUGCCAGCAGCCGCGGUAAUACGGGGGGAGCAAGCGUUGUUCGGAUUUAUUGGGUUUAAAGGGUGCGUAGGCGGCCCGUUAAGUCCGUGGUGAAAGCCUCCAGCUCAACUGGAGAACUGCCAUGGAUACUGGCGGGCUUGAGUACAGACGAGGUUGGCGGAAUUGAUUGUGUAGCGGUGAAAUGCAUAGAUACAAUCAAGAACUCCGAUUGCGUAGGCAGCUAACUAGGCUGUAACUGGCGCUGUGGCACGAAAGCGUGGGGAGCGAACAGGAUUAGAUACCCUGGUAGUCCACGCUGUAAACGAUGAUUACUCGAUGUUGGCGAUAAACUGUCAGCGUCUUAGCGAAAGCGUUAAGUAAUCCACCU
rnacentral:rRNA from 1 species